rnacentral:rRNA from 1 species
UACGUAGGGCGCAAGCGUUGUCCGGAAUUAUUGGGCGUAAAGAGCUCGUAGGUGGCUUGUCGCGUCGGGUGUGAAAGCUUGGGGCUUAACUCCAGGUCUGCAUUCGAUACGGGCUGGCUAGAGGUAGGCAGGGGAGAACGGAAUUCCUGGUGUAGCGGUGAAAUGCGCAGAUAUCAGGAGGAACACCGGUGGCGAAGGCGGUUCUCUGGGCCUAUCCUGACGCUGAGGAGCGAAAGCGUGGGGAGCGAACAGG